UGUUGCUUAUAAAACACAUAUAUUUAUAUAUAUUUUUUUAAUUUUGUAAACAGUCCUACAAUGUACUGCUGAGUUCAUAUUUUUCCAAUUCGAGAAUAAUUGAAGUUUGAUUCUACAAGACCAUGUCUCGAGGAGAACGGCGAUGGAAGCUAAGCUUAGAUCUGAGACUCUUGUCUGCGGCUAUAGGAGAACGACGACUGAAGCUUCAAUCUAAGACUCUAGUCUGCGACUGGAGAACGGCGACUGGAGCUUCGAUCUGAGACUCUGCUCUGCGACUGUAGGAGAACGGUGACUGGAGCUUCGAUCUGAGACUCUGCUCUGCGACUGUAGGAGAACGGUGACUGGAGCUUCGAUCUGAGACUCUGCUCUACGAUUGUAGGAGAACGGUGACUGAAGCUUCGAUAUGAAACGGCCAACGGUGACACGAAAA